GGGCUUGAUCCUGGCCCGGGGCGAACGGUAGCGGCGUGCCUAACACAUGCAAGUCGGACGCCCCCGGGGGUCUGCCCCCCGGGGGAGUGGCAGACGGCUGCGUAACACGUGCGUGACCUGCCCGCAAGGGCGGGAUACCUCUCCCAAAAGGAGGGAUAAUCCCGCAUGUGCUCCCGGCGCUGCGGCGCCGGGAGGAAAGCCGGAAGGCCUUUGCGGAGGGGCGCGCGGCCUAUCAGGUUGUUGGUGGGGUAAUGGCCCACCAAGCCGAUGACGGGUCGCUGGUCUGGGAGGACGGCCAGCCAGACCGGCACUGAGACACGGGCCGGUCCCCACCGGGGGUCAUCAGUCCCACCGUGGGGGCAGCAGUGGGGAAUCUUGGGCAAUGCGCGCAAGCGUGACCCAGCGACGCCGCGUGGGGGAGGAAGGGCUGCGGCCUGUAAACCCCUGUCGGUCGGAGACGACGCCGGACGGUAUCUGACCCCAGGAAGUCCUGGCCAACCGCGUGCCAGCAGCCGCGGCGACACGCGGAGGGCGACCGUUGCCCCAAGUUAUUGGGCGUAAAGGGCGUGUAGGCGGCCGGGGGAGUCCCCCGUGAAAUCGCCCGGCUCAACCGGGCGCAGCGGGGGAGACCCUCCGGCUUGGGGCCGGUAGAGGGAGACGGAAUUCCCGGUGGAGGGGUGAAAUCCGAUGAGAUCGGGAGGAACGCCGAGCGGCGAAGGCAGUCUCCUGGGCCGGGCCCGACGCUGAGGCGCGAAGGCGUGGGGAGCGAACCGGAUUAG
rnacentral:rRNA from 1 species